rnacentral:rRNA from 1 species
GCCCAAGAGAUCGGGAUAACACCUGGAAACAGAUGCUAAUACCGGAUAACAACAGAUGAUGCCUAUCAACUGUUUAAAAGAUGGUUCUGCUAUCACUCUUGGAUGGACCUGCGGUGCAUUAGCUAGUUGGUAGGGUAACGGCCUACCAAGGCGAUGAUGCAUAGCCGAGUUGAGAGACUGAUCGGCAACAUUGGGACUGAGACACGGCCCAAACUCCUACGGGAGGCAGCAGCG